AUACUGUGACAGCAUCUGCUUAAUACAAAUAAUUUUCCAAUCAUGUGGGUUUCUUUACAUCCACUAAAACAGAACCUCACUAGGACCUUUGAUAAUUUAAACCCAUGAAAAAUCUCACAUGAAUGAGAGCUUUUAUGUUGUAUUCAGGGCCCCAUUAAGGCAACAAUGCCUCAAGAAGUCACUUUUUUGUCAGAGAUUAACAAAUAUAUUUUAGCUAGCUAAGUAUUGGGUGGAGGGGUUAUUACUUUGUUGCAAUUUUACCAUUUUAAUCGGAAAUACAUAUUUUUACAUCUUGACAGAUUGUGUGCCAUGUCUAUAUCAUUAUAGAGGGAACUCACAUUUGGAAUCUGGAAUAUCUUCAACAAGGAGCUGAUGAAGUGUUACCAUUGCCAAAAACUGGUUCAAUGAGAGUUCCAUGAGAUUCAGCAACUUCCCUUGGAGUCAAGUAACCCAGAAAAGCAUAGGGCCUCAAUUCUGCCAGCAAGUUGACAAGAGCCAGCAACAUAUGACCACUUACCUUUUAAACUUUGGUCUCUGCAAAGAUGGCUGCGGUGGAGGAUUUGAAAACCCUGUACUUUUGCUAGCAGGCACAGAGUUUUUCUUAUUGACAACCUGAGUGAUGUGAGAAGUGGAUGAUUUAGGACUCCUCCUCUUGGUUUUUCUUUCUUCCAUUUUCACAGAUUAUUCGUUGGUACUAUACGGUCAAUACUUUUCUGUACUGGGGAGGGGGGAAGGAGAUUAAAGAAUAUAUAUAGUUAACUGUGCCAAUGAAAAGUUGGAUUAAUAUUUAACAUAUUAAUUUUAGAGUAUUUUUAUUUUUGUUUAAUGUCUGUG